UGUUUCCAAGCACAAGCUGAAAAAACAGUGUUCCAAAACGCAUCAUACGUACGCUCUUUAACAUAUUUGAGAUGUUCUAACAUACAUGCCAUAUUGUAUCUAAGGUUUCAUCUAGUCUAUAAUGUAUUAUUCCUACACAAAAUAUCAGUGUCACAGUACAGCUGGAACUUGAGGGGAUAAGAAAUGCCAGCAAACUUUAGGCUUUUUCAUAUUUGAAAUUAUGUGAAUGGUACAGCUUUUCUGCAGGUGAAUGGUGAAGUGAAACAGAAAGCAGAAGUCAGGCACAAAUAACUGUUUAAUGUAAAAAUUACUGAUAGGAAAAGAAGGAAAAAUGCUUCUCUGUCCUCUACUUGCACAGUUUCCAGUGCAUGACACUUCAAAUUCUGAAUCAGACUUCUUUCCUUCUCCAAGGAGAAAACUGAAGAGGCUUCUAUUAAUUUAAGCCAAAACUGAAAUUUAAUCUCAAAUAAAAGAUUUCAGUAUGGAUA